AACGAACGCUGGCGGCGCGCCUAACACAUGCAAGUCGAACGAGAAGGCGUAGCAAUACGCUUGUAGAGUGGCGAACGGGUGAGUAAUACGUGGGUGACCUACCCUCGAGUGGGGAAUAACCCGCCGAAAGGCGGGCUAAUGCCGCGUACGCUUCCGUCCUCACGGGGACGGAAGGAAAGCUGUACCGUGGGUACGGCGCUCAAGGAGUGGGCUCACGUCCUAUCAG
rnacentral:rRNA from 1 species